AGUGAACGCUGGCGGUAGGCCUAACACAUGCAAGUCGAACGGCAGCACAGUAAGAGCUUGCUCUUACGGGUGGCGAGUGGCGGACGGGUGAGGAAUACAUCGGAAUCUACUUUUUCGUGGGGGAUAACGUAGGGAAACUUACGCUAAUACCGCAUACGACCUACGGGUGAAAGCAGGGGAUCUUCGGACCUUGCGCGAUUGAAUGAGCCGAUGUCGGAUUAGCUAGUUGGCGGGGUAAAGGCCCACCAAGGCGACGAUCCGUAGCUGGUCUGAGAGGAUGAUCGGCCGCACUGGAGCUGAGACACGGUCCAGACGCCUACGGGAGGCAGCAGUGGGGAAUAUUGGGCAGUGGGCGCAAGCCUGAUCCAGCCAUACCGCGUGGGUGAAGAAGGCCUUCGGGUUGUAAAGCCCUUUUGUUGGGAAAGAAAAGCAGCAGGUUAAUACCCCGCUGUUCUGACGGUACCCAAAGAAUAAGCACCGGCUAACUUCGUG
rnacentral:rRNA from 1 species